CCCUUAGAUGUUCUGGGCCGCACGCGCGCUACACUGAUGCAUUCAACGAGUUUCUUCCUGGUCCGAGAGGAAUGGGUAAUCUUUUGAAAGUGCAUCGUGAUAGGGAUAGACUAUUGCAAUUAUUGGUCUUCAACGAGGAAUUCCUAGUAGACGUAGUUCAUCAGACUGCAUCGAUUACGUCCCUGCCCUUUGUACACACCGCCCGUCGCUCCUACCGAUUGAAUGCUCAGGUGAGCCAUUCGGACUUUCAUCAUGCUGGUUUCCAGUUUUGAUGAAGGAAAGUCUUGCGAACCUUAUCAUUUAGAGGAAGGAGAAGUCGUAACA
rnacentral:rRNA from 1 species